rnacentral:rRNA from 1 species
GACGAACGCUGGCGGCGUGCUUAACACAUGCAAGUCGAACGGAAAGGCCCUGCUUGCAGGGUACUCGAGUGGCGAACGGGUGAGUAACACGUGGGUGAUCUGCCCUGCACUUCGGGAUAAGCCUGGGAAACUGGGUCUAAUACCGGAUAGGAGCCAUUUUUAGUGUGAUGGUUGGAAAGUUUUUUCGGUGUAGGAUGAGCUCGCGGCCUAUCAGCUUGUUGGUGGGGUAAUGGCCUACCAAGGCGGCGACGGGUAGCCGGCCUGAGAGGGUGGACGGCCACAUUGGGACUGAGGUACGGCCCAGACUGCUACGGGAGGCAGCAGUGGGGAAUAUUGCACGAUGGGCGCAAGCCUGAUGCAGCGACGCCGCGUGGGGGAUGACGGCCUUCGGGUUGUAAACUCCUUUCGCUAGGGACGAAGCUUUUUGUGACGGUACCUAGAUAAGAAGCACCGGCUAACUACGU